rnacentral:lncRNA from 1 species
UCUAGGAUCGGAUUUGAUUCUAGAGACUUAAGGCCUUGGUUUGUAAGGUCUUCAUGGGCUAAUCUAUGGAUUGGACUGGGAUUUAGUCCAAUGGGUGAGUGCAUGGGAGACAAAGGUGUACAUGGACUCAGAGAGUGCAUCACAUGGUGUAGCAGAAACUCUGGUACAACCUCCUCCAUAUCUGAUUGUAAACACCUCACGUAGAACCUGAAUGUUACUCCAGCAAUUGACAAAGAAGAGAGAAGAAUGCUAGGGUUUGGGAUUGGAACCAGAGUGGGAGAGAAAGUUAGAGAGAAAAGAUCUUUAUUUACUUAGUCACAUUCUUAAACCCUAAUAUAACCUAUAUAUAUUUAUACACAGUCAUUAGGCCCAAUCAAAAACUCUUCUUGGCUAAACCC